UUGACUUUUGUAUUUUACAUUUAAAUCCAUUCCUCUUCCCCUAUAUUUCCAGCACCCCCUCCUCUCUCAUAUCCUUCAGAAUAGUCAAGCAGAGAAGAACUUAUUAAUUAGAAGAAAAUCAGCUCAAGUAUCACUCCAAUCAGUCCAUUUUGACUAUAUAAAUAGUCAAACCAAAGAGGUAAUUAACUUCUACAUUGUUAUUCUAUGUAAAACAAACAAUGGCCUUUCGUAGAAAGGCUAGAUAAGGCUGCGUAUAGUAAAUCCAAUAUGGUCGGACCCUUCCGGGACUACGCACAUAGCGUGCUUAUUGUACGGGAUUGCCCUUUUUAUUUGUUCAUUAUGCUAAACACAAGGUGUACUAUUGCUAUUUUAAUUGGAUUAAUAAUAAUAAUAAUAAUAAUUUUGAUGCCAUGCCAUUUUAAAACGAUAUCUGUUGCUUGUAGGAAUUACAGUUCAAGAAAGUAUUAAAGAGGGAUGGCACACUCUAUUGAGAUUACCCCAACAGAUCACCGAAUUCGUCAAGUAAUAGAAGACGAGGUCUCUCUUUCUCAACACAAACCUUCAUUUUAUUUAUUUAUUUAUUUACUGUUUUUUUACAAAAGGAAACAAGGUAGCAAGCAUGAAUAGUCACGCGUG
rnacentral:lncRNA from 1 species